rnacentral:lncRNA from 1 species
CGCGGGGCCAGCCUCAAUGCACCCACCCACCACGUUUUCAACGCGCUGAUAGUCCCUAGGCGGGUUCGCCUCUACCUACAGACCCUGCUUCUCCCCUUAGACAUGAUUCCUCUCCCCCAGAUCCUGCGUCCCUCAGACAGAGUUCUUCUCUCACACACCCGGCUUCCCUCCUCAGACAGGAUACUCCCCACACACCCUGCUUCCCUCCUCAGACAGGAUUCUCCCCACACAGACCCUGCUUCCCUC